rnacentral:rRNA from 1 species
UACGAAGGGUGCAAACGUUGCUCGGAAUCAUUGGGCGUAAAGCGCACGUAGGCGGCUCCAAAAGUCGGAUGUGAAAUCCCUGGGCUCAACCGAGGAAGUGCAUCCGAAACUGCGGAGCUUGAGUAUGGAAGAGGGUCGCGGAAUUCCCGGUGUAGAGGUGAAAUUCGUAGAUAUCGGGAGGAACACCAGUGGCGAAGGCGGCUACCUGGCUUGGUACUGACGCUCAGGUGCGAAAGCGUGGGGAGCGAACAGG